GGGGCAACUGAUGUACCUGGCCGCAAUGACAACGCCACUCUGGGACUUUCACCCAGAGAAUACCACAUAUAAAUAUUAGGUUCUCAUUUGUUUUAAGAAAGGGAGCAGAGAGGUUAAUUUCUAGUCUACUUUUGAACAGUGUCCAGUUUUAUUUAUGGAUAGGCAUAGUGUUAGUUAACACUCUUGAUUUAAAAAUAAGGCUUUUAUUACAAAAAUAUCUUCUAUGCUAAAAAUUGUCGUUACACUGAGGUGAUUUGCCAGCACAAGGUGACUAUCAGGGAGGUCUAAAGGGGUGGGAGAGUGAAGGGGCCACCACCAGGGACCGGAAAGGAAAAGUCACACACACAUGCACUGCAAAGCAAAACACAACAAAUAUAAAACAUGCCAAAUAAACUAUGAAUGAGGAAGCCCUCCACCUAGUGAACCACGACCUAUAAUCAGCCCGCCUGUACAGGCAUUGAGGACCCCAGUGUAGGACCUGCUCCAGUUGGUUUACAAAAAAGAAAAGAACAAAGAAACUAAACAACUUGUCUGGAGAGAAAACAAAUUAACAAUGCAUAAUCAAGAUACUGGAUAAAACAAAGUAACCAUAAAUACAAAAUAUAUUUGCAAAGGGGCAAAAACAGCAGUGGCUAGAACUCGGCAAUCACCGAAAAGCCGACAUCACUUCCCUGUUCCUGCCACAAAACAAAGCAGCACAUGUCACACACACACAACGUACAAAACUCCACCCAACAUCACCGCUACAGAGCACAUUCAAACAAAACCAAAAACUCGCUCCACUACAAAAACAGACACACCUGGAGACUGUACAGAUGGGGUGGGAGCUCCACGAAUAGUCCUUCAGCGCCCAGUCCAGCAAUAGUCAUUCCUGAGAAGUGUGGAGCUGGGGCAGCCUGGGGCAAACCCUACAUUUGAACCAGGAAGUAAUCUGGCCUCACCUGUUGGGAAUCACCAAUUAAAAUGGUGUAUCCAAACAGGUAGAGUGAGCUCUACCCAUCACAUUGAGAUGCGCGUGCACACACACACACACACACACACACUCACUCAUAUUUGUUCAUUCCGUUUAUCUUACUGCCUUGCAAGCCAAUAAAUCUUGAAUAUCAAAAUUAACUUAGCUCUGGUGAGCGUUGGCCAUUUAAUAAUAAGAGGAAAUUAAAAGAAUAAGAUAGAGGUUCAAAGUAAGAGGGAGAUUAGAUAGUCAAUACAAUAUUACUGAAUUACCGACAGCACUAAUAUUGUUAUUUAUAAGCAGAAUUACUUGUUACUGAAUGUGCAAAUGUUUAAAAUUAAUAUAAUCACAAUUGAUACUACUUAUCAACACAAGUGUGUGACAUGUCAUUUUAAUAAAACUGAAAUGGUUAGAGGGAGAAGAAGGAGAAGAAGGUCUUGGAAAUGUAACGUGUGGGUGUGCGUGUGUAAAGUAAAACAUCUUCUCCAACAUCCAUAGCCAUCAGAAAUAGAAAUGGCUGGUCAACAGUGAGCUGGUUUAGGCUUAACAGAGGGGACCAGUAAGAAUUUAUAUUUUUCCGCGGUCCAGACAUUCAAAGUGCAUGGAUUAUACCAGCAGGUGGAUUCCUUGAAUAUGCUGAAGGAUGAUAAGGAAUGCUUGUUCCUGCCUUUUCCUAGAUCUAAUGAGACUCAAUGUGGCACUGGGCAGGGAGUUGGAGCUCCAGCUGCUUGGAUUUAGAGGAAUACCCAACGGGAAACUUCACACCCCCAACCUCUGCUGGUUUUGUCGGAUUAGCUCAAACUGAAUGAUCUCUGUGUCCAAACUGGACGAUGCUCUGUGUACUGCAUUGCCAGACGGCGUACAAACAAAAUGAACUGUGAGGAACAAAACCACUCAUUCUUAGAUAAAUCCUAUGUUGUAGAUAGACUAUCUUUAACUUCAAAAAGUCUUUAACCAACCUCCAAAAUAGGAUUUUUAUUAUCUGUGAACUCACUGAGAACUCAUAUUAUAACAGGUUGGACAACAAUUGGAUUUGGCCGUAAAAUAUUUAAUCAAAUGAAAACUUUUUCAGACAUUUUUCACUAUUCAAGAGUGGUAUUCAAAAACCUAUGUCGGAUCAAACAUUCAUUAAAGCCUUAAGCGGCCUCACGUUCAUGCAGAUACACACAAACAGACAAAUCAGUGUCACCUCACGAUGCAUGAUUUACGUAACAAUGAGCUGAACUACAAUGAUAUAAUUAUAAAUGAAUCCGGAGAGAGUUGUUGAAAUUUGAACAAUGCUUUAUUAUAACAGGCAUAAUAUUGCAAGUUGUUUGGGGCUUGGACUCCAUCCUGCCGCAGGAUAGACCAGGGGCCGGGAUCUCGAGCCGAGACGAGGCAUAUCCCCCAAAACCAGGUUUAUUUGAUGGAAUAAAAUAAAUACUUACUGAGGGUCCUGAUCCGGAGCUGGUGUCACAAGGGGACAUAUAGUAAGUCACGUGGAGCUGAGAAACCAAGGCAAAGGUUAACAGGACAAUGAAAGAGGAAGGUCUAGUUGAACCAUAGACAAGGACACGGGGUCCAGGGAAGCCGCAGGACAUAGCGAGGGUCUAGCUGCACCACAGUAAGGCAUGGUGGGCUUUCAAAAGAUCCCGAAGUAAAAGAGAGGGUCUGCUAGACUAAAUGACAGGAUAAGUUGGGGGUCAAGGUUGACCGCAGACAAGGACAGUUUGUGGUCGUGUAAGUCCGCAGACCAGAUAGGGGUGGUCAUGGUGGACCGCAGAAUAGACUUAGUUGAAGAGGGCCCCUCACAGAACAACUUGACUGGGUUCGCUCAGACCGGGAAACAGAUGGUCACAUGGGUGUUCCUGACUGGUCAGGUUAGCCUUGCUAAACGUACCACCGUCGCUUGACGGGUCAGCUCAGACCGGGCACUUGCUAUUAACUAGAGUGACCGGUCGCGGGACCGCGAAAUGGAAAGGUAGUCAGCUUGACUGGUCCAUCCGGACAGCUUUUGGGAAAUAGAUGUGGUCCUGUGAGACCAGGAAAGAUACGUUAAGCCAGGUAACGUAAACCUAAGAAACACAGACACGUUAAGCCAGGUCACGUUCACCUAGGAAAUUACUUAAGUCUGCGGCAAGGGGACGAGGAAGGAAUUCCCAGACAAGCUGCGCUGUAAGACACCACCACCACCAGUUAUAUGCAUGCUUACCGGAAUCGUUACGUCUUUAAUGCUCUUUGCUUUGCCAGUACCGUGGUAAGGUCAGGGCGAAUGUAUGACGUCAGCGCGGAGGAGGACCACCUCCCCAUCUGCUGUAGUGUAGUCUCGGGGAUGCCUUGGUUGGAGGCUGACGUGGCAGCCCCUAUUCUAAACGAAUGUCCCGAGUAGUGAUGCGGCGAUAUGUGGCUUCUAGUGAGUAUAAUGUUCAAAUGAUGGCAGAACCAGGUUCGGGAUAGGGGCGCAUUGCCGGGAGUGAGGAAUAGCGGUGCCGUGGGGCCAGUGGUAGGUUUCACCUGGAGAUACCCCAGCAUAGCUUUGAAAGGGCACAAGUCGGCCUCCAUUCGUGCCACAAUCACUGAGCAAGCGCCGCCUCGUUUGGAGUGUUUAAGCUGCAGUUGGUAAUGGGUAGGAUAGAAGGUCAAAUCUUUCGCUGUGAGAUCUUUAUCAGGGCUAAAGGCUUUAGCGGAUGUGGUAAAUUUGCCACAUCAGAGGAAGGCAUAAAAUGCUAGCAAGAAAACUGCCUCUAAUAAGGUGUCGCUAUAGGGUGAAAACACCCCUUCCCGGAGUAUGUGCACCAUCUGCUGCAGGAUCGGCAGGGUGAUAGGACGCCGGGAGUCGGGGAUUUAAGGUAACUCUUGUGUAAUGCCUUUGAGCAGUAGCUUGACACUAAUGUGAGAGAACAGGCUUGGGAACUCAGGAUCUGAACAUCUAAUGUGGAACUGAAUGCCGGCAAGCAAACUACGAUUGUAUGGAGGUUUGAAAUGCCGCACGUCGGUACAAUAGCAGAUGAAUGCGCACACCGUUUUCAUAGCAACAGGUUGGACCGGCAUGCUGACAGACAGACAAAACAUGGCAAAUGUACGCCAAGCAAAAUCAUACACUUUUAUGGUAGACCUUGCUAGGCCUUUCCGCAUGUUAUACCUGGCUGCCUCCACGUAGUGCUCUAUCUGACCUUGUCCUAUGAGAGCAUCAGGGUGUGACACUGAGGGACUGUAAUGGGUGCUUUGUGGGCAUCGGGGCAGAGCCUCUGGAAAGUCUGAAAAUCAAAAACGGGAAAGUGAGUCAGCCAGUUUGUUAUGCUGUCCGGGCACGUGCCGGGGAGUGAGGAAGAAGUUCUUGGUGACAGCGAACCACGUAAUGCCUCUCAUGAAUGGCAUGAUGUCUCCCCUCUGAUAACGGAACGCCCAGCUCCACUCGCAGUAGCGAGGAGCCUGACCCGUCCUGCGGGGAAUCUAUCACCAGGAAGUCAUCCAGCAGGUGAAGUACUGACGGGAUUUUGGCCCUAUUCAGCAGGAUCCAACAGAGCGCUUCGGACACCUUGUUAAAUAUGCACGGGCUGCUCCUGCACCCAAAAGUUAACCGCACUGCAAAGUAGAACUUCGCCCCCCACCGGAUCCCGAAGAGAUGCCAUUGAGCCGGGUGUAUGGGUACUAUUUUGAAUGUGUCUUUUACAUCCAGACAGAUCAAAAAUUAAUCUUUUUUUACCAGAGUAUUUGCCCGUAGCAACGCCCUACGUGAAACCCCUGUGGUAAGCCUGUGAGCAAGUGAUUCACGAACCCCCGGUCGGGGUGCAAAGAUAGCUCUGUUGCUAGUGCUGCCUUGUGAGACGAGUGCUCCUGCGCCGGCCGCUCGGUGGGCUGCUGGCCGGCUCCGGUUGUUGAGACUCUCGUCUCCGGGAUAGAUCGCUGUCCGAAUCCGACAUUCCUUUUGCCGUCACGAUCACUGCUAAUCCAGACGAAAAUAAUCCUUUUUCACCUUUGGAGCGUGCUGAAAUGACAACUGACAGCAAGAGAGAGGAGAACAGUUUUUUUAACGUUUGCCUGCACCAAUGCGAUUGGUUUACGGUAACGACACCCACGUCUGAUACUACCCGACCCUGCCCCUAAUCAGCUGGCCGUGCACCCCCAGGGAGAGAGGAGGCCACCAGGGAACGGCACAGCCUGUCCAGUCUUCCUGACUGAAUUUUCACCUAAGCUUCAUUUAUUUUUAGUUUACCAGCAUAAAUUGGGAGUGAAUACAUUUAUGAAGCUUAGGCCUAAAUUCAGUCAGGAAGACUGAAGAAGCUAAUGCCUGGCAUAUCGAAAGAAUGGAGCAACUUCUCUACUACCACCAUCACCGGUGUCUACACUCCCAAAGGGGGUACAUGCCUCAUCUGAUCACAGAAUCCUGCCCCCUGGUCUAUCCUAUGGCUGGAUGGAGUCCAAGCCACAACAAACUUUUCACUUUUAAUAUUUAUGCUUGUGUUAAUAAAUCAUUGUUAAAACUUCAGAAGUCUCUCCUGAUUGAAAUAUAUUUGUCUGGAAUUGGAAGACUUAAUAUGGGGUCCAUCAUCAGAGACAAGUACUGACG
ensembl:lncRNA